AUGCUGUUCCCUUCUCAGCUCCUGGCCUUUUUAAUGUUGUGCAUCUCUGCAACCAGUGGGGAUAUUGUGAUGACCCAAACUCCACUCUCCCUGGUCAUCAUCCCUGGAGAGCCCGCCACCAUCUCCUGCAAGGCAAGUGAGAGCAUGGUACAUCCUGAUGGAAACACCUAUUUACACUGGUACCAGCAGAAGCCAGGCCAGUCUCCGCAGCAACUCAUUUAUCAGGUUUCCAAAAGGCCUUCUGGGGUUCCAGACAGGUUCAGUGGCAGUGGGGCAGUGUCAGAUUUCACUCUGAGAAUUAGCCAAGUGAAAGCUGAGGAUGCUGCAGUUUAUUACUGUCAGCAAUAUAGAAAAUACCCUUCCACAGUGAUACAGCCCUGCACAAAAACCUCUUUGAUCAGUGUGCCCCAGCUGAACAAAUGUGUGACCUGUAUGGGAAGUAGACACAGGAGAUUCUCUGAAUCUGCUUGA